UACAGAGGUCUCAAGCGUUGUUCGGAUUCAUUGGGCGUAAAGGGUGCGUAGGCGGCGCGGUAAGUCGGGUGUGAAAUCUUGGAGCUUAACUCCGAAACUGCAUUCGAUACUGCCGUGCUUGAGGACUGGAGAGGAGACUGGAAUUUACGGUGUAGCGGUGAAAUGCGUAGAUAUCGUAAGGAAGACCAGGUGGCGAAGGCGGGUCUCUGGACAGUUCCU
rnacentral:rRNA from 1 species